AGUCUUCGUGUUCCCUCAAAGGCUUCCAGUAUUCAUUCAUACCUAACUAGUUGCUUGAAUGCUGGAUGUCUUUGAAGGAAUUUGAAAGCU
rfam:Glycine max cultivar Williams 82 chromosome 18, whole genome shotgun sequence.